GGUGGUGUGGUGUAAUGGUAGCACGUGACGUUGUGGUCACCCCACAAAAUAUCCGUUUCAAUCUGGGUUCGAUUCCCAGCACCGCCA
rnacentral:tRNA from 2 species